CAGGGAAUAUUAGAAAUGGACGAAAGUCUGAUCUAGCAACACCGCGUGUGCGAAGAAGGCCUUUGGGUCGUAAAGCACUUUUUGGAAGGAAUAGGAAGGAAUGUACUUCCAGAAUAAGUCUCGGCUAACUACGUGCCAGCAGCCGCGGUAACACGUAGGAGGCAAACGUUAUCCGGAUUUACUGGGCGUAAAGCGCGUGUAGGUGGUACUGUAAGUAGGGCGUGAAAGCUCCUGGCUCAACUGGGAGAGGCCGUUCUAAACUACAGAGCUAGAGGAUGGUAGAGGGAGGUGGAAUUCCAGGUGUAGCGGUGGAAUGCGCAGAUAUCUGGAGGAACACCGGUGGCGAAGGCGGCCUCCUGGACCAUUCCUGACACUCAUGCGCGAAAGCGAGGGUAGCAAACGG
rnacentral:rRNA from 1 species